rnacentral:rRNA from 1 species
CCGACGGUGAGAGGCGAAAGCUGGGGGCACGAACCGGAUUAGAUACCCGGGUAGUCCCAGCCGUAAACGAUGCUCGCUAGGUGUCUGGGAUGGCGCGACCGUUUCAGGUGCCGCAGGGAAGCCGUGAAGCGAGCCACCUGGGAAGUACGGCCGCAAGGCUGAAACUUAAAGGAAUUGGCGGGGGAGCACUACAACGGGUGGAGCCUGCGGUUUAAUUGGACUCAACGCCGGAAAACUCACCUGGGGC